UGUGUGUGUGUGAAACUGAGGGCGCGGUGUGAGCGCAGUUUUAGCGCCUUCCCCAACGGGACCCUGCGCUGUAUCUGUCUCUAUUACCACCGGGGUAGACACCGAGACAACAAGACCCAGGGGACCUCUGCCUGCAUCUCACCUGCUGGCUUUUAUGACUGUAUUUUCGCAACCCAUACUCCCGAAGUCCCCAUUAACUGCACAUUAUACUAGUGUGUCCCUGCCCCAGCACACCUGACUCAGCUCAUCAGCUCAUUAACAAGCGCUUGACGAAGUUCAAACGGAUGCUGGAGCAUGGAAAACGCCACAAAACAAAUGUGCAAUGCAGGGCUGCUCCAAGAGUAAGGCUAGGAAGCGGGGAAAUAAGGACCCUUCUGUUAUGGUCUGCUUCGCUUACUCUUUCACUGCACCUGACACAUACUGUACCCAGGAGGAAAUAGCAUGGAGAAAGACGCACCAAGCAGACAUCACAGCUGGAUUUGAGCAGCCACAGAAAUAUAGAAUGUGACAGAAAUGUGGAAGCUGACAACCAACUGGAACAGGAUGCAGUUUUAGACAGAGACCAACAAAAUGGAACGUGACAGAGUGCUGGAACACGGAAAAUAUCAGAAUUCCACAUAAUCACAUGACCGUACCAAGAGAUAUAGCAUAUGAUUGUAAUCAUGAAAGAUCCACUGCCACUCAAAAAUCUUGAACACCUGGAUGUUUAUUAUAGUAUCUGGAGGUUUAUUACAGCUCUAUUAGUGCCACAGACUAAACUAAAUCUAAACUUACAAUUAAAAUGGACAAAAAUAUAUAUUUUUUUAAUUUAAGGACUUAUUUAAUGGCCAGACUGAGAUCCUAAAGGGACUCUAAAUGAGUUCUUUAUUAAAGGCAGAUAUAUUUGGAAGGUAAACCAGUAAACCCCAUUAAACCAGUGAUUACAGGUCGACCUUGAUUACAUUGUGUCAGUUGCAAACAGACUGUAUGUUUUUUAAAAGCGCAUUUUUUCCCAAUUUCGUAAUUUGCCAGUUCUCACCCUCUAGCUAGUUCCCCCAAAACAUGACAGGUAGCAACCAGGGAGGAUGAAAGCUAGCACCUACUUUCUCUGAGACAUGUGAAGCCAGCUACAGCACCUUUUGAAACUGCUCACAGAACACACUUGGAGUAAAGUGCUAACUACCCUCUUCCAAUUGCCUGAGCUCACAGACACCCAUUAUUAGCUAGAGUGUAGAUUGACAGGGCAAAGUGUAAUGCCAUCCCUCCCACCCAGACAGAAUGGCCAGUUUUACUUUCUUGGACUCCUUAUUCAAAUUGGCAAUCUCCCAAUGAUAGGGCAGCAGAGACUAUUUAGCAGUGAGAGGGGUAUUUCUUUUGGGGUUUGAGGAAUUUAGCAAUAAAGGGGGUAUUUAUUUGUAAGUUUGAGGUAUUUAGCAGUGAGCAGGGUAUAUUUGUGUUUGGGGAAUAAAGCAGUGUGGGAGGUGUUAACUUUUUUUGGGAUAAGUGCAUUUAUCAGUAAGAAGGUAUAUAUUUUGGGGUUGGGACAU